rnacentral:tRNA from 1 species
GAGGGUAUAGCUUAAGUGGUAGAGUAUGUGUUUAGCAUAUACGAGGUCCUGGGUUCGAUACUCAGUACCUCCU